GGCCCGGCAGUUGGAGGGCUAGCUCCUGGGGCGGGGAGGGAGAGCCGGCAUGUGUGGGGCACUGGGGCCUCUGGGCUAGAAGCCGAAAAUGUCACCGAGGAUUCUGGUUGUUUGUUUGUUUGCUUUUGGGGCCUGCAAAGAAAAAACUGGGAAAAACUUGACAGUGUCUUUAGAGCUCCCCUCACACUUGGAAAUCCUUUCAGUCACGCUUCAAGAGAGCUGCGGGGGACUUUGGAAACCGUCUAGACCUGAUCUCUCGAUUUACAGAUAGGGAAACUGAGGCUUGGAGGAGGGCAGUGUUUGACCCUUCCUGGAAUCCUCCAGGUUGUGGUUUAUUGCGGUUGGAAGGUAUCUUAGGGAUGCCCCUCAUUUUUACUGUCUUCCAGACCUGUGACUUUAUCCAUGUGGGGACAUCACUGAUUAGCAAUGGCAACUCUCCUCUAGCUUGUAGUCGAGGAUUAGUUGCCAUGGCCCCAGUUUGUGUGAAAGGCAGCACUUGAACCUUGGUCUUCCUGAUUCCAGAGGCAGCCCUUUACUCACUAGUCCACGCCCUCUCUUUUACUGUCGUACCUCCUUGCGGUCUCAAGUUGUAAAUCACUUCUUGUUCAUUUUAAUUUUUUAAUGGACUGCUUUUGUUUAUUUGCUGCCCUUUCCCCACCCCUGAUGAGGCUGUUUUGUUCAUCUCUUGCCUUAUGGGACGCCCCUGUUUCAUUAUCUAGUUGGGGGUUUCCUCAAUCCUUUCUCACACUGGGCACCUCCUUUCCCUCCUCCCACACUUAAGCCUCACCGUUUUGUAGUCUUCUUUUUCUCAUCUCCACCCUCCCCCCCCAAAAAUCUUUUUGUGUCUUAAUGUCUUGUUCUCAGAACCUCCUGGCUAAGUUAGUUUCUAUGUCUUUCUCACUACCUUUCAGAUUGAAUAGAGAUGGAUGUUGUUUUCUAUUGGACUUAGUUUUGCUCAGUUUUUGAAAGGUGCCCCCCCCAGCUGUAUAUUGACUCAGUUUUACCUGCGUUCAGAAAGUAUGAGGAAGUUACUUUCUCAAUUCUAAAAUUAUUGGUUUCCUAACUCUAAAACAUGUCCAUAACUUCAGGGUGUUACAGAUAAACUGGGAGGCCAAGACUGGACUCAGAUCAUCUUCUUGAACAGCUAGAGAAUUGUAUCUUUAAUUCUGGCUAUAUAUGCCUUGGAAUACCCUGAUUAUUUACUUGAACAACCAGAAAAAUUAUACAUUUGUUUUUGGCCAUAUGUGUUUAGGGGCAUAUAUUUAUAGAUGGACAUCAUCUAGUCCCAAACCCACUCAUUUUACAGAGUCAUUAGAGUCAAGUGGCAAGCAAAAUUCAAGACAACUGGCAGUGGCUUGGCAUGCAGUGGAUGACCUUGGCAUUUUUGAGAUCUAACCAUGCUCACAAUGCCUGAUUCUGCCAGCUUUAUGGACCAUUGGACCAAACUGUUCACAUCUGCCUAUUCUGCUGGGAAAAUCUUUACAUACUUGGGGUAGACACCC